AUACGAAGGGGGCAAGCGUUGUUCGGAAUAACUGGGCGUAAAGCGCACGUAGGCGGAAUGUUAAGUUAGAGGUGAAAUCCCAGGGCUCAACCUGGAACGGCCUUUAAUACUAGCAAUCUAGAGACCGAGAGAGGUGAGUGGAAUUCCGAGUGUAGAGGUGAAAUUCGUAGAUAUUCGGAGGAACACCAGUGGCGAAGGCGGCUCACUGGCUCGGUACUGACGCUGAGGUGCGAAAGCGUGGGGAGCAAACAGGAUUAGAUACCCUAGUAGUCC
rnacentral:rRNA from 1 species